rnacentral:snRNA from 1 species
AUGCGCUGAGUUGCUUACGUUUCUCAUAUCUCUUUCGCCUUUUACUAAAGAGAUCAGCGAAUGCAACUCACAUAAGGCGCUUCAAUUCAAUAUUUGUAGCGCAUAGCGCU